rnacentral:rRNA from 1 species
UGGGGAAUUUUCCGCAAUGGGCGAAAGCCUGACGGAGCAAUGCCGCGUGGAGGUGGAAGGCCUACGGGUCGUCAACUUCUUUUCUCGGAGAAGAAACAAUGACGGUAUCUGAGGAAUAAGCAUCGGCUAACUUUGUGCCAG